AUUGAACGCUGGCGGCAGGCCUAACACAUGCAAGUCGAACGGUAACAGGAAGCGUCUUGCUGCUUCGCUGACGAGUGGCGGCCGGGUGAGUAAUGUCUGGCACGCUCCCUGAUGUAGGGGGGUUACUACUGGCAACGGUUCCUUAUACCGCAUAAUUUCGCAAGACCACUGGGGGGGACCUUCCGGCCUCUUGCCCUCGCUGGUGCGCAGAUGGGAUUAGUUUGUUGGUGGGGUACCGGCUCACCCAGGCGACGAUCACUAGCUGGUCUGAGAGGAUGACCAGCCACACUGGAACUGAGACACGGUCCAGACUCCUACGGGAGGCAGCAGUGGGGAAUAUUGCACAAUGGGCGCAAGCCCGAUGCAGCCAUGCCGCGUGUAUGAAGAAGGCCUUCGGGUUGUAAAGUACUUUCAGCGGGGAGGAAGGGAGUAAAGUUAAUACCUUUGCUCAUUGACGUUACCCGCAGAAGAAGCACCGGCUAACUCCGU
rnacentral:rRNA from 1 species